CGGGACAGGGACACGCUUGUCCCUCCUCUAUCCUGGUGUGACCUCCCCGCCGCGCUUCCCGCUCGCUCUUUGGCGCCUGCCAGCGAAUUCCCACCGAGCCAAUUUUAGCUCCAGGCUGGCCCUGGCUCCGGCCAAGGGCUCCUCGGGGCCCUUUGUGCUGCCGGCAGCUCUGGCCCACUUUGGGAAUAAAGCGGGGGCUGUUCCUGCCCUGCCCGCCCCCGCUCCGGGGGGACAUGCCCGGCUGUGCCCGGGCACCUGUCCCUGCAGCCCGGGCUGCACCUGAGCCCUGCAGGGUGAGAGGGAGGGAGAAGAAACGGCUUUAGGGGAAAAGGAAUUCUGAGAAAAAAUGACCUUGGUGUGGUCAGAGCCUGCUCCAGGGGCUGGGGUGUGGUGUGGCCGGGCAUGGGGCGUGUCCAGGGGACAGUUCAAGGCGUCCAGGUGUGUGUGCAGUGUCCAGGUGUGUUUGUGCCAUGUCCAGGUGUGUGUGCAGUGUCCAGGUGUGUUUGUGCCAUGUCCAGGUGAGUGGCAGUGCCCAGGUGUGAUUGUGCCAUGUCCAGGUGUGUGGCAGUGCCCAGGCGAGUGUUCAUUGCCCAGGUGUUCAUGUGCAGUGUCCAGGUGUGUGUGCAGUGCCCAGGUGUGUGUGUGCAGUGUCCCUCAGUGUGGCAGUGCCCAGGUGUGAGUGCCAUGCCCAGGUAUGCAUGUGCAGUGCCCGGGUGUGUGUGCAGUGCCCAGAUGUGUGGCAAUGCCCAGAUGUGCAUGUGCAGUGCCCAGGUGUGUGUGGCAAUGCCCAGGUGUGUGCCAUGCCCAGGUGUGUGCCAUGCCCAGGUGUGUACCAUGCCCAGGUGUGUGGCAAUGCCCAGGUGUGUGCCAUGCCCAGGUGUGUGUCAUGCCCAGGUGUGUGUGCAGUGCCCAGGUGUGUGCCAUGCCCAGGUGUGUGCCAUGUCCCCCUGUGCCCAGCCGCUCUCUCCCUGGCCGUGUCCCCGCUGUCCCUCUGUGCGCGGGGCUCCGGCACCUCCCUGUGGCAGAGCCGGGAACGGCCCCGAGCCUGGGACACCGCGGGGACGGGGACAGCGCUGGGGACACCGCGGGGAUUGUCACCGUGCUGGGGACACCGCGGGGACGGGGACACCGCGGGGAUUGUCACCGUGCUGGGG